rnacentral:rRNA from 2 species
GGACUACCGGGGUUUCUAAUCCUGUUUGCUCCCCACGCUUUCGCACUUGAGUGUCAGUAUUGGUCCAGGAGGUCGCUUUCGCCACUGAUGUUCCUUCCGAUAUCUACGCAUUUCACCGCUACACCGGAAAUUCCACCUCCCUCUCCCAUACUCAAGCAAAGCAGUCUCGACUGCAGUUCCCAGGUUAAGCCCGGGGAUUUCACAAUCGACUUGCAAAGCCACCUACGUGCGCUUUACGCCCAGUAAUUCCGAUUAACGCUCGCACCCUCUGUAUUACCGCGGCGGCUGGCAC